UUAAAAUGACCUUAGUAAGGCUCCUCACACUGGCAGAGCUGUGGAGACAUUUGGGUUGCCUGAGUGCUAUUUGCGUCUCACUCUGUCACCCAGGCUGGAGUGUAGUGGUGUGAUCUUGGCUCAUUACAACUUCCACCUCCAGGAUUCAAACGAUUCCCGUGCCUCAACCUUGCGAGUAACCGGGAUUUCAGUUCAUUCUGCAGACUGAGAAGUGUUCUAGAUUCUUCCCCAGAGAAGCAUCUCAUGGUGAAGACGGAGAACUCACAUUGCACAGCACAGACUUAGUGGGACGAAAGGGAGAAUACCGCCUGAAGCACUCAUCACACCCACCACACGCUCUGAUGGUUCCCAGCCAACUCUAGAAAGAAAGAAAAAAAUCUGUGUGAACACAUACUCUAGAAUCCGGAGCAAACUCUGCGAAAGAGAAGUGCUCUGCAGAUCUGUCUUGUACGAUGAACUUCGGGAGUCAGGUGAACUCCCGCCAGUGGAUGGAGACCUGGUGCAAUCACUUCCUUGGAUAUAAUUGUUUUUCAUGGUGAGACGAUUACUUUAACGCGAAAUCUCCUACUGUGAACAAUCCUCGGGAUGGCUAAUGUCAUAAGAAGGCGAUUGUUCCAAGUACCGCAGUGGGAGCUGCCUCAAAACUUGUGUUUAAAUUUGUGGGGUUACAUUAGGGAAAUCAUCACGAUUACCUUAGUUUGUUGAUAAAAGAUAUUAUGAUGAAUGA